GUGUAUUCUUUGUAAAGAGUAGAUAUCCACUAAGAAAGAAUUUUUCGGAAUUCCACCCCUAAGGGGGUUAAAUGGGGGUUGGAAGGUUUUAUGAAAGUCCUACAUUAUACAAAUUAUUGAUGAAAAUUAUUAUUAGGAUCUU